rnacentral:lncRNA from 1 species
ACCUUUUCUGUUCUUCACACUCUAUUUUUGCAAUCUUAGUUAUAGAGCUCAGGAGCAAGGCGAGGUGAGACUAAUGCUUCAAGCGGGGUAGAUUUAAUGUUGGUCAAGCCAACUGUGCCAGUCAAGUCAAUCAAACCAUUGGAUGGCGUUGAGAAAUCGAAGGCGUGCAAGAAAUUAGACAUGGUCAAGUAUAGCAUAUGGAGUGCAAACGAUGUUCCAGGACAACUCCUCCUACCACUGCCAAAAGGCAUCAGUUCAAAAUGCUGGCCCCUAACAUCCACAUCUUUGUGGGUUGUGAGAAACCUCUCGGGAUUAAACUCUGAUGGUUCUGGCCAUUUUUUAGGAUCCCUUUGGAUCUUAUGAAGGUUUAUGAUCAGUCGGGUGCCUUUGGGGAUGUCAUAGCCUCCAAUAGAACAACUUUCACUGAGCUCACGAGGUGCUGACAAAGGUGCAGGUGGAUACAUUCUUAAUGUCUCUUUAACUAUGGCUUGGAUGUACACUAAUUUGCCGAUGUCUGUCUCAUUCACAAACCUGUCCCUGCCUAUAUAGGUGUCUAAUUCUUCUUGAGCCUUUUUGAGUAUAUGAGGUUUGUUCAACAUUAGGGAAAGACCCCAUAUUAAGGUAACCGUUGUGGUGUCACUGCCUGCUAAAAUCAUAUUCUGCAAUACGUAAUUUUGAUAAUUUUAGAACUUAAGAAUUGAAUAGUGGAGAGAUUAGAUUUGAAUAAAGAAAAAGUGAAAGGUUAUACCAAGGAAGUGGCUUUGUUGAUGGUGUCAGCAUCAUAUCCGGCAAGACUUGCACCUUUAAGAACAGAGUUCAUCACGUCCAUGAAAUCCUUCUCCUUUUUAUUUUCAUCCCAACGUCCACCCUUCCUAUGGUCAUCUAGCCAUCCUCCGGAAAUUUCAUCCAACUCUUUAGCAGUUUUCUUCAUCCACUUCUCAUAACCACCAAUAUCCAACCAUCGGAGGAAAGGGACUGCAUCGCCCAACACAAACAUCCCUGUCAAGUGAAAGAAAUCUCGUAAAGCCUUACGAUAUCUCAACACCUCUUUCUGGUCUUCCUCUGCAACAACACUGUACCUCUUCCCAGCAACCGUCCUCAUAAUAACGUUCAAAGUCAAGUCCGAAAAGUGUUUCUUCAUCUCAACCAACACCUUACCCGAGCCAUCCUUUUUCUUGGCCCAAGUUUUAUAUAAUAGUUUCAUUGAGCCUUCUAUUUCUGAGACAAACACUUUCUUGAGCUGAUCGAUCCUGUGAUUGGAUAGCACCUCCAACAUUGUUAUUUUGCGCAUUUCACGCCAGUAUUGUCCGUAAGGAGAAAACCCAAACAUGGCAUAGUUGUAACCCAAGUGUUCAGCGGCAGCAAAUUCGGAUCGGGAAGAAACAUACAUAUCAUUGACGGUGAAGAUUUCCUUGGCUACCUCACUCGAAUUCACCACCAGGGCUGGGUGAACACCAAUCCGGAUCAUGUAGGCAGGUCCAUAUUUCUCACCCAAGUCUCCCAACGUUUCAUGAGGGGUCUUGGGUCCGCCUAACAGCGGGAGGUGACCGAUUAUUGGCCAUGCACCGGCUGCUACGGGUGCAGCUUUGCCGCCACUUCCUGAGCUAGACUUCUUGAGUUUGGUGUACAAAAAUAGUAGCGUGAUGCCUAACACUACUGCAUAACCAAAAGUGGAGAAAUCAAGAAGAUCCAUCACUGCUGUGAUAAGAAAGUGUAGAGAUCUUCUGAAGUAAUUGAUGAUGGGAAUGUCUUGCCUUUUGCACUUAUAAAUAUAGCUGGGGUGCCAAGACGCCAACGGUCAAGCUUGUCCUUGUGGAAAUUGAUUUUUUUUAAUUCUAUUUUAUUAUGUCAUCAAUGUUUGAAUGAUAUUCUGGUGCCAUAAUAAGCUAACGGAACCAUGCAAGCAAUUAAGACUAAAGCCGAUUCCACCCCAACCAUAAAGUGAGUCUAUAUGGAUGUUAUUGUUCCAUCUUUUAUGACCAUUUGAACUAAAAGGUAAAUCGGUAUCAACACAUUUAGCUUGAUAGUUAAGUUAAUCAUGUGAUGCGAGAGGGCUCUUCAAUAAUGACAACUAGAUUAAGAUAGUAAGGUCCUCCGUUUUCAACACAUUGUAUUUUUUAAUACAUUUGUCACUGACGGAGGUGAGAGGGUUCUUGUUUGGCGGCCUUUAAUAAUAUUUUGAGGUUUUUUCUGUUCUUUUUUGGCUGUCCCCUCCUUUCUAAAAUAAUAUAUAUAGGGGAUGUAAUAAAAAAAAUUUGGGAGGCUAAAAUUAAGUUUUAUAUUUAAUGUAAUUUUAUUAUUUUGAUAAUUUAUAUCUUUUGUAAUUUUUAAAAGAUUUAAUUAUUUUUUUAUCAUUUUAGGGGUCAAGUGCAAUUUUAUCAUAACUAAUUUAAAAUUUUAUAAAUUAUUAAAAGGUUAAAAGAAAGAUUUUUCAUUUUAGGAGGGUCGAGGGCACCACUGGGUACAAAGGACCCUUAAAAAUUUUAAUUGAACUCUUAUACUAAAUUCGCAUUCAAUUCAACUUCUGCAGUUAAUAAAAAAAAUUUAAUUAAACCCUUCCGUUAAUAAUUUCCAUCUUUAAUCGUGUUACUAUUAAAAUCAAUUGAUAAAUCAAUCAAAUGGCGAGACGUGAAAGCUUCUGAUUUAAUCAUAUAAUUUUCUCAUUAAAAAUCAUAAAAAUUUAUAUAAACCUAUAAAACCUAUAAAAUUAUAAAAACUUAUAAUAAAUUAUACAAAUAGUAAAAAUAAAACAUAUUAUAAAUAUUUAUCAAUUAUAAAUAUUAUAAAAAAUCUAAAAAUCUAAUAAUUAUCAAUAAUUAUAAAACUUAUUAAAAAUUCGAAACAAGUUCUAAGAAAUCAUGAAAAAUUGUAAUUUUUAAAAAAAUUAUAUGUUACAAAUAUAUAAAAGUUUAUUUAUUUGUUCCUCGUUUUAUAAAUUAAACCCCUGAAAUUAAAAUCAACACGCGACAUUAAAUCAACUUUUGGAUAAUGAGAAUAGUCAUUAGAAUAUUUUAUGUUGACAUAUAUUAAUAUUUACAACCGUUGGAUAAUAAUUUUGGUUUUAUAAUAUCUAACUAUACCAAAAAAACUUUAUAUCAUACGAUAAACAUUUUUCAAACUUUUGGAGUUCCAAACUAUUGUAUUGUACUUUAAAAACUAAAGAUAAAAAAUUAAAAAUUAAAAACAAUAAGUUAUCAAUAAAAAGGAAAGAGCCUCAUAAUUAUCAUUAUUUUAUUUGUGGAAGAUCGAUAAUAUUUCAUUCAACACGAAAAUGAUUUUAACGAUCUGACUAUUAUUCUUAUUAUUCGAUAGUUGAUCUGAUACGAUGUGUUUGUUAUGAUUUUAGGGUUUAACUACCUCUUUAUAAUUUCUAAUGUUUUCUAAUUUUUAAUAAUUUUAUAAGUUUUUAUAAAAUUUAAUAGAAAUUUUUAUAAGUUUAUUAUUUUUAUAAAUUUUUUAAGAUUAAAUAAAAAACUGUCAGGUAUUGUUCAAAAAAUAUUAAGAGAAGUACUUGAUUAAAAUUUUUUAUUAAUUGGGUUUAAUUUCGUCGAAAGUAGGUAGACUUGUUGGCUGCUUGUCGUCACUCGUCGCCCAGGGUGGCUUGAAUAUCAUUUUGUCGCCAUUGAAGAUUCAGCGUCCACUGUUCUCAAGUAACGUAGACUUUGUUUUUUCUUCUUCUUUUUUUGAAGUAUAUAAUAUGAUAUUAAUAUAUAAGGACACCAAAUUUGAAGAAAGUUUACUUCAAGUUAAUAAAAAUGUAUCCUGGGAAAUAUUUUAACCCAUCAAAUUACUCAUAUUCUUCAUUGACAUGUUUAAUAUAAUACAGAACACCAAAAUUGAAGAAAGUUUAAUUUAAUCCAACUUCAAGUUUAUUAAAAUGUAUCUUACCAUUUUUCUUUAACCCAUCAAUGUUAUGUUAAUAUAAAUAAUAUUUGUUACAUUUUCAAUAGAGGUUUUAGAUACGGUAAGUAAGUAGGGUCAGUAUUUUAUAAAAAUAUAAUAAAAUGUUUUUAUAAAAUAAAAAAAAUACAUGAUCCACCAAAAUUGAAGAAAGUAUAAUUUUGUAAGAUCCACUUCAAGUUUAUUAAAAUUCAUCUUGGAAAUUUUUUUAACCGAUAAAUUAUUUUAUCAAAUGAUUCUGAUUAAAUGAAGUUAUUUGGAGAGGGAUGAUUGUUUAGUAUAUAUAUAAAGCUUGGAAAGGCCUGCUUCACCACUGCCGUCUGAAAAUAUUGAAAGAGCCACCAAGAGGGUGAAUGACAAAGACAAUAAUGAGCUGGAUCCUAGGGAUCAGGUGAUGGAGGACUCUCAUGGUUGGAGGAGACUGUUUUACUUGAUCACGAUGAGUUUGAGCUGUUGGAUGAUGAUAAUAAUGCAGCCUUCGCCAAUACCCUAAAAUAUAUAUUUUUUCCAACGGUUUAUAAUAGUUGAAUUUUUAGUGGUAUAAAAAAUAUGAUUUUAGAAUUGUAUUUCUAUAAAUCAGAUUAAUAAAUAAUAAAUAUUAAAAUUUAAGAGAAUAUAUAAAAAUAUAUUUAAGAUUAGCCUAACAAUUUUGUUAAUUAUAUAGUUAAUUAAGGUUUAGAGACUAAAUUGUAAAAUUUCAAUCGUUAUAAAUUUUUAAUUGAUUGAAGAUUUAAAUGACAAUUAAUCAAUGACCAAAUUGAUAAAUAAAUCAUUUUGUAAUAUAAGAUAGUAGAUGAUGAUGUUGUUUUCCAACUGUAAUUAAAGUAAACCAAUUAAGGAUUAGGUUAACUAAUGUUUAAUUAAGGUAUAAAAGUUAAAUUUAGUGGAGGAGAAUUUGUCAUCUUCCUCAUUUGCUCUUCUUGUCGUCCAUGGAAGAAAAACCUAAUGAAAAAUACUAAAGACAUUCUGCCAUUGAUUUUAAGGUAAAUUCCAGUCAUUUUAUUAAAAUUUUUAUGAAUUUAGAGUUAUAGGAGCUUGAUUUGGCUAGUCUAUGUACCAAUUUAUAAAACUGUUAAAGUUUUAGAAAGUUGCAUUUUGUUGAUUUCUUGACGAAUUAGGCUUGAAAUUGAUAGAUUUUAAGCUUAAAAAAUAAAAAGAACUAGAUUGUAAAGUUAAUUUAGCUUAUUUGUUAAUUUUGUUAUAUUAGGAACCAAAUUAAAUAGAUAUAAAAUUUAUCAUGAAAUUAUGUUAGAAAUAGAAAGUAAAAGGUUCAAAAUAAAAAUAUAUGAAAUUGGAUUUUAAUUCGAAGCUAAGAAUUGGAAGUUAUGGCUAUCCCGAGUAUAGGUUCAUGCAUAUCAUAGAAUAGUAUGGAGAUACUUGGUAUUGAUUAAUGAUAUAAAUGAUUGUUUAAAUCAAGAAUCGGAUUGAAGAGAAGUUGAUCAGGGAAAAACUAAAAUUGCGAAUUAGCCCCUAAAGUAUCCACUUUGCAUAUUUUGAACAAAUAAGUUCAAACGAAACUUAUCACUGUAUUUUAUUUUAUGUAUAUAUUAAUUAUGUUUGAAUUUAUCCAUAUGCUAGAAUUUAGUUAAUUUGGCACAUAUGACUUAAAAUGGACUAAAUUGAAAAGUCAUGUGAAUAUUAAUUAUUAUGAAAUAGUACAGGGUGCAAAUAUGAAUGUUGAUUUAUUACAGGACUCAUAAAUGAAAUAUGUUAUCAUGUAUAUAUUGGAUUCGGUGACUUAAGUGUAGUAUAUUCGUUUAUACAAUUGUAAUUUUUUCAAAUAAAUUGGUUAAUAAAUUAUUCGUGAAUUACAAUAAUACCAUUUGUAUAUUGUCCUCACGUGAUUUUUGCACAUUAAACAAAUAUUAGCUCAAUGGUUAUCUAAUGUUUAAAUAAUACUAAACGGUAAUACAGAUAGACAACUAAUAUUAGUAGACAACUUAUAAAAUAACAGGUUAUUUUCGAUUAGACUAAAGACAAUGUUAGAUUCGCCUACUAAUAUAAAUUGUCUUUCUGUAUUAUGAUCCGACCACAUAAUACCACUUAGUAUUAGUUUAAACAUUAGAUAACCAGUAAACCAAUAAUUGUUUCUAUUUUGCUUUGCAUGCAAAAACCACAUAAUUAGAACAUUGUACAAAGUAUAUUAAUGUAAUCCAUAAAUUAUUUUAUUAACCAAUCUAUUUGAAAAAAAUACAAAUUUACAAACCAAUAUACUACACUUAAAAUAUCAGAUCUAACAAAGAUAAAUAAUUAUUAUAGAUAUAUGAUGGUUGAAUUAAUUAAUAUUUAUGUGUUUAAUUAAAAGCAUGAUAAAAUUUGUGUUAUGUAAAAUAGCAUUAUUUGAAUAGCGAAUAUUUAUGCUAUGCCUUUGAACUUAUUUACUUUUCCUUGAUAAAUUUUUUGUAAUAUUGAAACCUUGAACCAAAAUUUCAUAAAUUCACAUAUCUCAAAAUGCUGACUCCCAACUCUUUAACAUAGUCGUGCAGGGUGAUGCUAGCAUAUUAGACACGACCAGUAGAAACGCAUAGCAGAAAAAAAAAAUAUUGAACUUAAAUUUGAGAGCAAAGAAUUUUCAUGUUUACCAUAUAAACAAUAUUAAAUCUAGAUGUUUUAUCUAACAAAUAUUUGUUUAUUUAUUAAUUUUACCAUUAUUGAUUCCAAAAAGAGAAAAAAGAAGAGGGAGGAGUGAGGAGUGAGGAGUGUAAUAGAUACAGACAUACUCAAAUUAAAUAAUAAUACAACAAUAAAAUCAAAAUGCUUAAGCAUUAUUGUUCUUCACACCUGAUUAUUGCUAUCUUCAUCUAAAUUUUAAUUAUAAAGCUCAGGAGCAAGGCGAGGUGAGACCAAGGCUUCAAGCGGUGUAGAUUUAAUGUUAGUCAAUCCAGCAGUGCCGGUCAAGUCAAUCAAACCAUUGGAUGGUGUUGAGAAAUCGAAGGCGUGCAAAAAAUUAGACAUGGUCAAGAACAACAUAUGGAGUGCAAACGAGGUUCCAGGACAACUCCUCCUACCGCUGCCAAAGGGCAUUAGUUCAAAAUGUUGACCCCUAACAUCCACAUCUUUGUGGGUAGUGAGAAACCUCUCGGGCUUAAACUCCGAUGGUUCUGGCCAUUUUUUAGGAUCCCUUUGAAUCUUGUGAAGGUUUAUGAUCAACCGAGUGCCUUUGGGGAUGUCGUAGCCUCCAAUGGAGCAAGUUUCACUGAGCUCACGAGGUGCUGACAGAGGUGCAGGUGGAUACAAUCUUAAUGUCUCUUUAACUAUGGCUUGAAUGUACACCAAUUUGCCGAUGUCUGUUUCAUUCACAAACCUAUCCUUGCCUAUAUGGGUGUCUAGUUCUUCUUGAGCCUUUUUGAGUAUAUGAGGUUUGUUCAACAUUAGGGAAAGACCCCAUAUUAAGGUAACCGUUGUGGUGUCACUGCCUGCUAAAAUCAUAUUCUGCAAUACGUAAUUUUGAUAAUUUUAGAACUUAAGAAUUGAAUAGUGGAGAGAUUAGAUUUGAAAAAAGAAAAAGUGAAAGGUUAUACCAAGGAAGUGGCUUUGUUGAUGGUGUCAGCAUCAUAUCCGGCAAGACUUGCACCUUUAAGAACGGAGUUCAUCACAUCCAUGAAAUCCUUCUCCUUUUUAUUUUCAUCCCAGCGUCCACCCUUCCUAUGGUCAUCUAGC